UCAUCAACCACUGAGUGCAGCAUCCAGUCUUUCCUUAAACACCUCCAGGAACAGUGACUCCACCACCUCCCUGGGCAGACUAUUCCAAUGCCCAAUGACCCCUUCUGUUUAGAAAUUCCUCCUAAUAUCCAACCUAAACUUCCCCAGCACAACUUGAGACUAUGUCCCCUCAUCGUGUGACUGGAUGCUUGGAAGAAGAGGCCAACCCCCAGCUGGCUACAGCCUCCUUUCAGGCAGCUGUAGAGAGUGGGCAGCGGGUAUGGUGUACAGACUGAAUGAGAAACCGCGCUCUAGUGAGGCAUCUACAGAAUGUGAAGACUGAUUGUCGUCCUGUGUCCACCUGACCUGACAGUCUUCUACAACGGAGUAUCUUCCUGUGUUGCCAAGCCCACCCCUAGCUCUUCUUCUCCAGC